CGGGUCAACAUCCCGCGGUGAAUAUGCCCCUGCUCCUUGCACACACCGCCCGUCAAACCACCUUAGUUGGGUCUGGACGAGGGUUUGUCUUAUGACACGCUCGAAUCUGGGUUCAGCGAGGAGGGUUAAGUCGUAACAAGGUAUCCGUAGGGGAACCUGCGGAUGGAUCACCUCCUAA
rnacentral:rRNA from 1 species